AUGGAGAAGGUUUGCUUGCCAGUGGCUGCAGCUGCCAUGGUUCUGCUCCUGAUGGUGGCGACGGCCCAGGGCAUCAGGCUGGACGCCGGGAGCAAGGCGGCCCUCGGCAACCCGGUGCUCAAUAAAUCCAUGGAGAAAGGGGUGAUGAUCAAGGCUGAUGGUGCUGAGCCGAAAGGGGUGAUGAUCAAGGCUGAUGGUGCUGAGCCAUUUUCAGGUGAUGAAGUGGAGGAGGCCAUCUCUGAAGAUAAAGAGAGGGCAGGGGGGCACAGGAUGCCUGAGAUCCAUGUGGACUACUAUGGCCCCAGGGGCCAUAACGCCAGGCACCACUGA
rnacentral:rRNA from 1 species